rnacentral:rRNA from 1 species
AACGCUAGCUACAGGCUUAACAUAUGCAAGUCGAGGGGAAACGACAUCGAAAGCUUGCUUUUGAUGGGCGUCGACCGGCGCACGGGUGAGUAACGCGUAUCCAACCUGCCCACCACUUGGGGAUAACCUUGCGAAAGUAAGACUAAUACCCAAUGAUAUCUCUAGAAGACAUCUGAAAGAGAUUAAAGAUUUAUCGGUGAUGGAUGGGGAUGCGUCUGAUUAGCUUGUUGGCGGGGUAACGGCCCACCAAGGCGACGAUCAGUAGGGGUUCUGAGAGGAAGGUCCCCCACAUUGGAACUGAGACACGGUCCAAACUCCUACGGGAGGCAGCAGUGAGGAAUAUUGGUCAAUGGGCGAGAGCCUGAACCAGCCAAGUAGCGUGCAGGAUGACGGCCCUAUGGGUUGUAAACUGCUUUUAUAAGGGAAUAAAGUGAGUCUCGUGAGACUUUUUGCAUGUACCUUAUGAAUAAGGACCGGCUAAUUCCGUGCCAGCAGCCGCGGUAAUACGGAAGGUCCGGGCGUUAUCCGGAUUUAUUGGGUUUAAAGGGAGCGUAGGCCGGAGAUUAAGCGUGUUGUGAAAUGUAGACGCUCAACGUCUGCACUGCAGCGCGAACUGGUUUCCUUGAGUACGCACAAAGUGGGCGGAAUUCGUGGUGUAGCGGUGAAAUGCUUAGAUAUCACGAAGAACUCCGAUUG